GACGAACGCUGGCGGCAUGCCUAACACAUGCAAGUCGAACGGAGAUUAUUUCGGUAAUCUUAGUGGCGCACGGGUGAGUAACGCGUGGGCAACCUGCCCUCUAGAUGGGGACAACAUCCCGAAAGGGGUGCUAAUACCGAAUGUGACAGCAAUCUCGCAUGAGGAUGCUGUGAAAGAUGGCCUCUAUUUAUAAGCUAUCGCUAGAGGAUGGGCCUGCGUCUGAUUAGCUAGUUGGUGGGGUAACGGCCUACCAAGGCGAUGAUCAGUAGCCGGUCUGAGAGGAUGAACGGCCACAUUGGGACUGAGACACGGCCCAGACUCCUACGGGAGGCAGCAGUGGGGAAUCUUCCGCAAUGGGCGAAAGCCUGACGGAGCAAUGCCGCGUGAGUGAUGAAGGAAUUCGUUCCGUAAAGCUCUUUUGUUUAUGACGAAUGUGCAGAUUGUGAACAAUGAUCUGUAAUGACGGUAGUAAACGAAUAAGCCACGGCUAACUACGUG
rnacentral:rRNA from 1 species